CGUCACGCCCGCUGUAAUAUGUAAUCAUCAAAGCGUGUAUUUUACUCGCUUGGUGUUACUUCUUACAGUGAGUGCGACG
rnacentral:pre_miRNA from 1 species